rnacentral:rRNA from 1 species
UACGUAGGUGGCAAGCGUUACUCGGAAUCACUAGGCGUAAAGCGCAGGUAGGCGGUUCGGUAAGUCUCUUGUGAAAGCUCCCGGCUCAACUGGGAGAGGUCAAGGGAAACUACCGGGCUAGAGUGUGGCAGAGGAAGCUGGAAUUCCCGGUGUAGCGGUGAAAUGCGUAGAGAUCGGGAGGAACACCUGUGGCGAAGGCGGCCACCUGGUUGGAUACUGACGCUGAGACGCGAAAGCGUGGGGAGCAAACAGG